rnacentral:lncRNA from 1 species
GGUGGCUGUAUGAUCUUAACAACAAAACCAAGCCUUUGUGCACAUCUGUGGUUGUGACCAGUUGGAGAGACAUUAGGAGAUGAGAUACUAUGUUCACUCCUCACAGCUGUACCAGGGACCUGAGAUAUUCCGUCACUAUUCUAUGAGCCUGGGCUGGUGAAUGGUUCCUGCUUUCACUAUUCCAGAUGUCCAGCUCUGUACCUUGCUGCUCUCCUUAAAGCCUGCCUCCCUCUAGAUGGUCUGGCUUGAUGAUAUCCAACCUGACGUGGCCUGAAGAGACAGACAGUGGCUCUUGCUAGCUAAUUAUUGUCAGAUGGAUCGGCAGCCGACCAACGCUUCUGAAACUAUUGUUUUUGGCAAAUGUUCCUCAACAUUUUCCUGGGAGCUAUGGUGCAUUACUCACGAGUGACAGAACCAACGAGCUUCAUCUCCCAAGAGGCUGGUGCAUCUGUUUAAAGGAGCAGGCACUAGGCAGAGCAGCCCCCACCCCACCCUCCAUGGCAGAGUGCAGUGGGGGAAGAAGUUUUCAUAGAAAUGCUUUCUAUAAAGCAUUUUCAUAGAGAAAGCAGGUUCAUAUAGAAAGCACUGGCUGCUGGUUGGAGUGGAGAGAUUGAAGACCCUCAUCUAGGAUCAAGCAACCCCCAGAAAACAAUUUUAAACAUGUCCAUUCAGACAAAAGGAGUCCAAAACCAUAAGAUCCUCUCAGCAUCCUGAACUAAUGUCCAGCUGUUAUCUCGAUGGGGAAACUGAGGCACAGAGAGGUUAGAGAUAUGCCUGAAGCCACACAGCUUGCAAGUGGUGGAUCUGGGAUUUGAACUUGUCGAUCUGGCUGCAGAGCUGAGCUCUUGGAGACUAGGUUUUACUGCCUAGUAGCAUGUAAGCCUGGAACUGCCGGCAGUCAUUUUGUAAGUUUGCCGAGUGAACCUCAAUGAGCAUGAAGCAGAGAGGAAAGCAGUACUAAGAGAUGCAAAAGAGUCUGUGUUCCAGCAAUGGGAUCUGAAGUCCUGGAUCAAACCUUACCUGGAGACAAGAUUUACCCAUCAGACAUGCCAGUUAUAAGACCCAAAUUUACCCUUUUUGGGGGAUUGAGUUUGAAUGAGUAUUUUUGUUUGUUUGUUUUGGCAUCAGAAAGACUCCUGAUUAAUACACAGUGUGACGCUGACCAAGAUGCUUCCUUUCUCUAGGACUCAAUUUUCUUAUCUGUAAAGUAAAGGGUUCAUCAACAUUCUUUGGUUGAAUCUUACCUGAAACAUUUUGUGAGCCUUCACCAAUCUCAUCUAAGCCUUUGUUUCCAUAGAACAAAGCCCUUUAAGAAAGGAGGGGAAAGUGUCAUGGAGUCUUACUGUCCUGAGUGCAAAUAUGGUCUCUGUAUUGUCCUUAUCUGUUCAUUUUCUGCCUCUCAGUACUAGAAUGAAAACUCUGGAAGAAGAA